GCGCCGUUGGUUUAGUGAUAAAAUUAUUUACGUUUGCCAACCGAGAUGGCCCCUGGUUUUCGAUUCCCGGACGGCGCA